rnacentral:rRNA from 1 species
AUUGAACGCUGGCGGCAUGCCUUACACAUGCAAGUCGAACGGCAGCAUGAUCUAGCUUGCUCGAUUGAUGGCGAGUGGCGAACGGGUGAGUAAUACAUCGGAACGUGCCCUGUAGUGGGGGAUAACUAGUCGAAAGAUUAGCUAAUACCGCAUACGACCUGAGGGUGAAAGUGGGGGACCGCAAGGCCUCAUGCUAUAGGAGCGGCCGAUGUCUGAUUAGCUAGUUGGUGAGGUAAAGGCUCACCAAGGCGACGAUCAGUAGCUGGUCUGAGAGGACGAUCAGCCACACUGGGACUGAGACACGGCCCAGACUCCUACGGGAGGCAGCAGUGGGGAAUUUUGGACAAUGGGCGAAAGCCUGAUCCAGCAAUGCCGCGUGUGUGAAGAAGGCCUUCGGGUUGUAAAGCACUUUUGUCCGGAAAGAAAUGGCUCUGGUUAAUACCUGGGGUCGAUGACGGUACCGGAAGAAUAAGGACCGGCUAACUAC